rnacentral:rRNA from 1 species
CCCUUAGAUGUUCUGGGCCGCACGCGCGCUACACUGACGAAGUCAGCGAGCAUGUCCUACGCCGACAGGUGCGGGGAAUCUUGUCAAACUUCGUCGUGAUGGGGAUUGAUUAUUGAAAUUCUUGAUCAUCAACGAGGAAUUCCUAGUAAGCGCAAGUCAGCAGCUUGCGUUGAUUACGUCCCUGCCCUUUGUACACACCGCCCGUCGCUACUACCGGUUGAAUGGUUUAGUGAGAUCUUCGGAUUGGCGCCACUGCGGCUCAGCAAUGGGCUCGGUGGAUGCCGAAAAGUUGAUCAAACUUGAUCAUUUAGAGGAAGUAAAAGUCGUAACA